rnacentral:lncRNA from 1 species
UAGGAUUCUCAUUGAUGUCUCCAUAAACCUCAUCCCCAACCUUGAAUUUUUUCACUUCACUUCCCACUCUCACCACCACACCAGCAACAUCGUACCCAGGAACAGUCUUAAUUAAUUUCCAUCACCACAUACAAGAUUUAACAAUGCAAAACGAAAAAAGAACAAUAUAUCAUUAUAUGGGAGAAAAUGAAAAUUAAUAAGGUUUUAAAACCAUGUAUGCAAAGGAUUACAAAAAAUCAAAUCAAACCCUUACCGGCAAGGGAGAAUCGGUGUUCUUGAAAUAGCCAUGAGCCCUCUUAUAAUCUACAGGAUUAAGGGCUGCAGCAGCAACCUUAAUGAGCACCUCGUCUUCCUUGAUCUGUGGUAU